AUUGAACGCUGGCGGCAUGCCUUACACAUGCAAGUCGAACGGCAGCAUGGAGAGCUUGCUCUCUGAUGGCGAGUGGCGAACGGGUGAGUAAUGCAUCGGAACGUACCGUGUAAUGGGGGAUAACGUAGCGAAAGUUACGCUAAUACCGCAUACGACCUGAGAGUGAAAGCAGGGGAUCGCAAGACCUUGCGUUAUACGAGCGGCCGAUGUCAGAUUAGCUAGUUGGUGAGGUAAAGGCUCACCAAGGCGACGAUCUGUAGCGGGUCUGAGAGGAUGAUCCGCCACACUGGGACUGAGACACGGCCCAGACUCCUACGGGAGGCAGCAGUGGGGAAUAUUGGACAAUGGGGGCAACCCUGAUCCAGCCAUGCCGCGUGAGUGAAGAAGGCCUUCGGGUUGUAAAGCUCUUUCGGCCGGGAAGAAAUCGCCAUCUCUAAUAUAGGUGGUGGAUGACGGUACCGGAAUAAGAAGCACCGGCUAACUACGUGCCAGCCGCCGCGGUAAUAC
rnacentral:rRNA from 1 species